ACGGCUCAGUAACACGUGGAUAACCUGCCCUAUGCUCUGGGAUAACCUCGGGUAACUGAGAACAAUACCGGAUAGAUCACAACGCCUGGAACGGUGUGUGGUCGAAAGGUUACGGCAUAGGAUGGGUCUGCGGCGUAUCAGGUUGUAGGGGGUGUAAUGGACCCCCUAGCCAUCGACGCGUACGGGUGUUGGGAGACAUAGCCCGGAGACGGAUUCUGAGACACGAAUCCGGACCCUACGGGGUGCAGCAGGCGCGAAAACUUCACACUGCAGGAAACUGUGAUGAGGGAACUCCAAGUGGAUGCACGUAGUGUAUCUCUUUUCUUUACUAUUAAUCGGUAUUGGAAUAAGGGCUGGGAAAGACCGGUGCCAGCCGCCGCGGUAAUACCGGCAGCUCGAGUGGUCGUCGCUUUUAUUGGGCCUAAAACGUCCGUAGCCGGUUUGGUAAAUCUGUGGGUAAAUCAACUAGCUUAACUAGUUGAAUUCUGCAGAGACUGCCAGACUAGGAACCGGGAGAGGUGUGGGGUACUCAAGGGGUAGGGGUAAAAUCCUGUCAUCCUUUGAGGACCACCAGUUGCGAAGGCGCCACACUAGAACGGAUUCGACGGUCAGGGACGAAGCCUAGGGGCACGAACCGGAUUAGAUACCCGGGUAGUCCUAGGUGUAAACGCUGUGAACUUGGUGUCGGGAGUCCGCAAUGGGCCCCCGGUGCCGGAGUGAAGAUGUUAAGUUCACUGCCUGGGGAGUACGGUCGCAAGGCUGAAACUUAAAGGAAUUGGCGGGGGAGCAC
rnacentral:rRNA from 1 species